UUCCCCUCCACACUGCCUUUGCAGACGUUCUCUAUGAAGGCUCCAUUCCUGGGGCAGUCUUCUGCCUGGACACACAGGCUUUGCCAUACAUCCUUUCAAAUCUGUGCAGAGGCUUCCAAGCCUCAACUUUUGCAUUCUGUGCACUCACAGGCUUAACACCAUGUGGAAACCACCAAGGCUUACAGCUUGCAACCUUUGAAGUGGCAGGAACUUUGAGCCAUGGCUGGAACUGGAGCUGGAACUGGAAUGGCUGAGAUGCAAGAAGCAGUGUCCCAAGCCUGCUUACACAGGCCCCUCCAUCCCUCUUCCCUCUCUUCUUCUGUAGGCUGAGAGCAGCCAUUCCAGGGCUGAUUGUCCAGGCAUGCCCAGCACUGGCCAGUGUGAAGAGGAGGAGCAUAGACCACUGCUGUGACUUCCUGGGAGUGGGCUUACACUGGCAUCUGUGCAGGCUUCAGGAAAAAGAAGCGAAAUCACGGCGUGGAUCUAAGGGGCCAAGCCUCACCUUGAAGGUUCUUCUGGGUCUUUGGCCUGGACAAGAACAUGAAACUUGAAUUUCUCAAGGUGAGGUGAAGGCCAAGCAGGAAGCCAGGAUGGUCACCAGGAAAGGAGCCAGAAUGAACUAAGUGUUCUUUAGGGCAAGGAACUUACCA
rnacentral:lncRNA from 1 species